AACUUUACCGGGAGAGAGACGCGAAAUCUCGCGAGAGGUUGCUUCCAACUUCCUUCGUUCUUUUUGUCGCCAAUCAAGCAAGAUGCCUUCCAGAUUGAGGAAGACAAGGAAACUAAGGGGGCACGUCAGUCAUGGUCAUGGACGUAUUGGCAAACACAGGAAACAUCCAGGAGGCCGUGGAAAUGCUGGUGGUAUGCACCACCAUAGAAUUAACUUUGACAAAUAGUAAGCUACUUUUCCUUUUUAUCUCACAACUACCUUUUGAAUUUUAGUUUUGUGUAAUACAAAGAGCUGAU